rnacentral:lncRNA from 1 species
AAAUAAGAGUUUUAGAUUGAGUACAGAACUCAAGAAACAGUAUGCUGAACUAUUUAAGGAAGGAUAGUUCUUUAUGUUUCAUAUUCAUUACAGCAAUGACUUCAGCUUAACAAAACGCUUAAUGAGUAAAAAUAGUUUGAAAUAACAAUACUAAUUUGAAAAGAUAAAAUAAUUUUUAAGAUAUUAGUUGCUAUAAAAGGUAUGUAUAUUAAAUAUACUCUAAAGCACAGCCCCACUCUCAAAAGAACAUCCUUAACUUGAAAAGGUAAAAAAAAUGCAAACAUUCUUCAGCAUCUUCCCUUUAAUUCUGACUCACUGAAGGCCAAGUUUGCCAGCAGAGACAUUUCAGGCCUGAAAGGAGUGGCUGGAAGGUUAGGCACACAAACUGUUUUCUCUGCACCAAGGACCUGAAGAGCCCUCCUAGCAUUCAUGGUACAACCCCUUGAAAAGAGGGCACAGGCUGCAGAAAGGAUGGCAACUUCACCCCAUCAGAGUUCACACUCAUGGCCAGCAAAUUCAAAUCCCAUCUGGAAGGAGGGGCAGCCCCCACAGGGAGGCUUUCACCUCUACUCCUGGCCUGGAAGGUUUUUCCCUGCCAGCCCCGUGUCCUAGACAGGUUCACAGGCAUCUACUCGCCAGCCAAGGGAAAGGGCGCAUGUCCUCAGCCAUGGCUGGGAACUGGGAAGGGCUCUGUGCCCCUUCCACAUGGUGAAGCAGCUAUAAAACUAGAGCAGCAAACUCUCAUCUGCCCCUCUAUUUACAGCUCAUGGCGGGGGGAGUCUUGCAAACACUUUAAUAUAGCCUGAAGAAAACAAGGGGUGGGGGGAGAAGCAGAGCUGGAUACAAAGGGAAGCUCUAUAUAUAGAAUGUAAUUAUGUAAGAGUUUAACCAGGGAAGCAGAAUCAGAAAUUCAUCCUGCACAGAAGACACGGCUGUCUUGGCCGCUUUCUCCAUCUCCUCCAGAACAGGAAGUCCCCCUGAAUACUUGGCUGGCUGACCAGCACAGAUUUAAUGCAGAGUCUUUUUUUUUUUUUUUUUUUGCAACUUUUAAAUCACUUAUGUGUUUUGCCCUGGAUUUCAGGACAAAGAACAUACUUCAUAUAACGCAUUCAACCUUUUGUACUUUUUUCAGCUUAAGCUAUGAGCGGCCUGGAAUCCCCUGAAGAGUACUAUCUAACAGAACUUUCUCUAACAAGAGAGAUCCUCAGUAUCUUCACCAUCCAAUACAGUAGGUGCUAGACAAGUGUGGCUACUUAGGGCUCCAAAACAUGGCUAGGGAGCUGAGUGUAUUUGUUUGUCCUUUGCCAGGGCUGCGUAACAAAGCAUCACAAAGUAGAUGGCUUACGUAUCAGAAAUGUAUUGUCCCAUGAUUCUGGAAGCCAGAAAUCCAAAACCAAAGUGUGAACAGGGUUGAUUCCUUCCCAGGGCUGUGAGGUGAAAUCUGUCCCAUGCCUCCCUCCUAGUUUCUGGGGGUUUGCAGGCAAUCUUCGCCAUUCCUUGACUUGCAGAAACAGCACCUUAAUCUCUGCCUUCAGGUUCACAUGGCAUUCUUCUUGUGUAUGCAUCUGUGUCCCUGUUUCCCCUUUUUAGAAGGAAGCUUGUCCUAUUGGAUUAGGGGCUCAUCCUACUCCAGUAUAAUCACCUUAACUAACUACAAUUGCAAUGACCCUAUUUUCAAGAAAGAGUACAUUCUGAGGUACAGGGGUUAGGACCUCAAUGUAUAAAUUAGGAGAGAAUACAAUUCAAACCAAAAGACUGAGGGUGUUAUUUUUAAUUUUAUUUCAUUCUUAUUGGUUUGAAUUUAAAUGGUCACAGGUAGCUAGCCACUACUGUUUUAAGACAGCACAGCUCUAAAAUAUUUUCUCUCUCACUGGACUCAUUCACCAGGGGCUUACUGGAUUCCAGGCACUGUGUGAAGCCCUACACCUGGGGUGUACUUUCACCACCAGUUACCCAAGGAGGAAGCCUAGGUUCAGAGAGGGUAAAUACUUGUUCUUUGUUCAAGGUCAAAAAGCCAGCAAGUCAGAACUUGACUCAGCAGGUAAAGUUUUGUUACUCCAUAGCCCAUGCUUAAGAGCUAAUCCAGCAGCUGCUUCCAUUACAGUUUAACUUCUGAAACUGUCCUGGGACAUAAGACAGUCACAUGGAUGAUUACAUUCCCAGCUGCCUCUAAUGGGAAGACAAUUGACCACUCAGCUAUUAAUUGAUAUUAUAAGGAUUGAUUAAUUACUUGCUUGUAGCUGGUAAUCUCUCUCUCUCUUUUUUUUUUUUUUGGGGGGGGGGGCUCUUCACAGCAUGCAGAAAUUCAAAUCUGCACCACAGCAGUGACCCGAGCCACUUCAGGGAUGCCAGACCCUUAACCCACUGGGCUACAAGGGAACUCCAAUAAUUAUCUCUUAAACAGUACAUGUAUUAUAAAUAAUAAAACAAAACAAUUCCAAAUUUUACAGCAUUCAUCAUAUGUGAGGCACUUGAGUGCCUUAAACAGACAUCUUUCAAUUUUGACAUUAACUUUUAUUAUUAUCCCCACUUAACAAAUGAGAAAACUGAGGCUUUCAAAGGUUACAGCCCAACUAGAAAAAUUAUGCUUCAGGUUACAGAGCAAAUGAAUGUCCUCAACUCAUAUCUGUCAGGAUUCUAAAACUCUCUUCCUGAGCUACUCUGCCACAUGACUUCAUACAAGUUAUUAAACAUAUGCUUACAUACCAAUAAAAAUAAUGGAAAAGACUACACUACAUGAUAUGAAGUUUUCCAGAGCCUCCAAAGGGAUUCACCUUUCAAAGAGCCCUUGCCGUUUAACACACAGAACUAAAAGACUCUCUUUUCUAACCUUCUACAAUACACACCCUUAUGCCAAGUGUAUUCCUUGAAGAUAUUUCUGGCGAGAAAGGUUUAGCUCAAGUAAUGGUUUUUGCAAGAGAGUUUAAGGAUGAAGUAUGUGACUUAAAAAAAACCCGACAUCAUGGCUUUUCAAGGGGAAAAUUGAAACGUUAUUUCAAGUCCCCAGAUAAUAAGAUCAAUAGACAACUUCCCAGUGGAGGCAUUUGCUGCCGACUGACUAAAGAAACAGUCUCCACAGUUUCCCUUAAGAGGCCACCCCACAGUUUAAUCGUCCUCACUGUUAGGGUUUUUGUUCACAUCUAUAGCCUAAAAUUCUUUCUGCUAAAUUUCAACAUGGUAUCCACCAGCUGCUCUCCUAGAUAAACAAUGCCUCUUAGGGAUUUGCACCCACUAAAAACCCUUGACUGGUAACCAUUCAUGCAGUCCCUACAAAUUACCUGCAAGGUGACUAUCAAAUUAUUAAUAUGGUUUGAAAACACAAAAGAAUAAUAUGAAACAAUCUUCACCCACAAGAUGCUUAAAACGGGCUGCUAGGGAAAGUGUGACAAACCUAAAAAAAACAGAAUGAAAAUAAAUGAAUUAAUAUUCCCUUUAAUCAUAAUCACAUAAGAAAUGGAUAUCAGUACCUCCAAUGUGACAGGCAUUGCAAUAAGAUUAGGAACAAAGCAACAGAUAAGAUAGCUACAGCCGGACCCUAGUUUAUACAGACUUAAAAAACCUUUCAGUAUUGUAAUACUUAAUGUUGUUAUCCCCAAACUAUCAAGCCAUUUAACAUCUUUUUUUUAAGUUAUAUGAUGUUACAAGUUCCAGAAAUCAGGGUUGCCAGGUAUAGCAAAUAAAAUAUACAUGACCAGCUAAGUGUGAACUCCAGAUAAAUGACAAAUAAUUUUUUCAUAGUAAUAUGUCUAUACUGGACCUGGCAAAACAUAUCAUUUAGCCACUAAUAUUAAGUUGCAGAACAAAUAUGAAAUAUAGAUUUUUUUUUUUUUAUACCAGAGCUCUAAGCGUUAGUAACUUCAAGCAAAUUACCACAUAACAAUUCUCAUGUUUAAACAUGGAAGCACAGGAGUUCCCGUCAUAGCUCAGUGGUUAACGAAUCCGACUAGGAACCAUGAGGACACGGGUUCAAUCCCUGGCCUCGCUCAGUGGGUUAAGGAUCCAGCAUUGCUGUGGCUCUGGUGUAGGCCAUGGCUAUAGCUCCAAUUAGUCCCCUAGCUUGGGAACCUCCAUAUGCUGUGGGUGUGGCCCUCAAAAAGACAAAAAAAAAAAAAAUUAAGAAAUAAACACGGAAGCAUAAAACGAGAAUGUGGGUCACGGUAACCAUGCGAUUCCGUGAGAGUUGUGAAUGGAACCUCCUGAGGGAACCAAAAAUGAAAAGUUUAACUUCAGUUUUAUCUAUGGGAUUAUGUUUUCUAAAUUUAUUUGAUAAAUAUGUUGUAGGAAACAAUGUGAUGGGGAACAGGACAAGAGAUUUGCAUGUGCUGUCACACCCCAUACCACAUUUAAUCCAAAAACAUCAAGGUUAGCAACCUGCCCCUCCACACAUCUAUCAAUUCCAUGUGCAUCCAUCACUGGGCAGCAGUAAAAUUUCUUACUGUUGCUAGAGGGAAUGCCACAUGCUUCGGAGGCAGUGAGUUCAGUGUGACACACACAUGCAAACACAUUUGAACUUUCUCUCACCAGCCUGGUGAGCAGCAUUUCUUGGCUCAACCUCGACUGCAGUCAGUACCAGAAAUGCCUCCAAGGGUGGAGAAUCCAAAUCUGUCUUCACUAUGUGUCACUUUUAUUCCAGGUCAGAGAGGCGACAUUCUGAGGGUCCUAAUUAAAAAGUAAUUGAAUUUAUAUUUAGUGUGUGCAGGGCACUUAUAUGCUACAGAGACAUCGAUUGCUGCAACAAACCUGGUUCCCUUUUCUCGCUCAUGAUCAAAAUAGAGUAAAUUUCCCAAACUGUCUCAUUAUAGUGCAGGAGGAGACAAAAGAAAGCAUGUAAGUCAACGGAAUGUGGCAGACGUGAUGUACACCACUUCUAAGCCUGACUCCUAAUAUGUUCCCAAGCCAUGGAAAUGCAGAGCUAUAAGACAGAAGGAGCCUGGCUUUGUUAAUGACAACCAGGACUUGCAAGAGCAACUUUGCGUGACCUAACAGCAAAUUUUAUUCUGUUGAACACAUGAGAUUUGAGAACCUGUUAGAGCUACUGCUGUAACUAAUACAUGCCCAAGCCUCGGCAAAGCAAAUGGAAACCCAAAUUAUAUGUAAUGAAAUCUUUCCUACAACUCCAUUGCUCCAGCAUGAUGUAUUUAACAUCUUCCUACUUCAGAGAAAACAUCUCCUUUAUCACAGUUUCAUGUUGAAUCAUUCUGCAAAGAAA